UACGUAGGUGGCAAGCGUUGUCCGGAUUUAUUGGGUUUAAAGGGUGCGUAGGCGGUUUUGUAAGUCAGUGGUGAAAUAUAGCAGCUUAACUGUUAGGGUGCCAUUGAUACUGCAGAACUUGAGUACAGAUGAGGUAGGCGGAAUUGACGGUGUAGCGGUGAAAUGCUUAGAUAUCGUCAAGAACACCUAUAGCGAAGGCAGCUUACUAGGCUGUAACUGACGCUGAGGCACGAAAGUGUGGGGAUCAAACAGG
rnacentral:rRNA from 2 species